AUUGAACGCUGGCGGCAUGCCUUACACAUGCAAGUCGAACGGCAGCAUGAUCUAGCUUGCUAGAUUGAUGGCGAGUGGCGAACGGGUGAGUAAUACAUCGGAACGUGCCCUGUAGUGGGGGAUAACUAGUCGAAAGAUUAGCUAGUACCGCAUACGACCUGAGGGUGAAAGUGGGGGACCGCAAGGCCUCAUGCUAUAGGAGCGGCCGAUGUCUGAUUAGCUAGUUGGUGAGGUAAAGGCUCACCAAGGCGACGAUCAGUAGCUGGUCUGAGAGGACGAUCAGCCACACUGGGACUGAGACACGGCCCAGACUCCUACGGGAGGCAGCAGUGGGGAAUUUUGGACAAUGGGCGAAAGCCUGAUCCAGCAAUGCCGCGUGUGUGAAGAAGGCCUUCGGGUUGUAAAGCACUUUUGUCCGGAAAGAAAUGGCUCUGGUUAAUACCUGGGGUCGAUGACGGUACCGGAAGAAUAAGGACCGGCUAACUACGUG
rnacentral:rRNA from 1 species